GACGAACGCUGGCGGCGUGCUUAACACAUGCAAGUCGAACGGUAAGGCCCUUCGGGGUACACGAGUGGCGAACGGGUGAGUAACACGUGGGUGAUCUGCCCUGCACUUCGGGAUAAGCCUGGGAAACUGGGUCUAAUACCGGAUAGGACUCCUGGCUUCAUGGUUGGGGGUGGAAAGCUUUUGCGGUGUGGGAUGGGCCCGCGGCCUAUCAGCUUGUUGGUGGGGUAAGGGCCUACCAAGGCGACGGCGGGUAGCCGGCCUGAGAGGGUGACCGGGCACACUGGGACUGGGAGACGGCCCAGACUCCUACGGGAGGGAGCAGUGGGGAAUAUUGCACAAUGGGGGCAAGCCUGAUGCAGCGACGCCGCGGGAGGGAUGACGGCCUUCGGGUUGUAAACCUCUUUCAGCUAUGACGAAGCGCAAGUGACGGUAGUAGCAGAAGAAGGACCGGCCAACUACGUGCCAGCCGCCGCCGUAA
rnacentral:rRNA from 1 species